rnacentral:rRNA from 1 species
GACGAACGCUGGCGGCGUGCUUAACACAUGCAAGUCGAACGGAAAGGCCCUGCUUUUGUGGGGUGCUCGAGUGGCGAACGGGUGAGUAACACGUGAGUAACCUGCCCUUGACUUUGGGAUAACUUCAGGAAACUGGGGCUAAUACCGGAUAGGAGCUCCUGCUGCAUGGUGGGGGCUGGAAAGUUUCGGCGGUUGGGGAUGGACUCGCGGCUUAUCAGCUUGUUGGUGGGGUAGUGGCUUACCAAGGCCUUGACGGGUAGCCGGCCUGAGAGGGUGACCGGCCACAUUGGGACUGCGAUACGGCCCAGACUCCUACGGGAGGCAGCAGUGGGGAAUAUUGCACAAUAGGCGGAAGCCUGAUGCAGCGGCGCCGCGUGCGGGAUGACGGCCUGCGGGUUGUGAACCGCUUGCGCCUGUGACGAAGCGUGAGUGACGGUAAUGGGUAAAGAAGCACCGGCUAACUACGUG